GAAAGGUGUGGUAACCCGUGAAGAGCUCUUCUCGUGAACCGCUCCUCCGCUUUUGAUCAUCAUCUCCAUCUCCGGUCCUUGUUUCACAAGUGCCUGCUUCUCCUCUUGCUUCUCCGUUCGAUUGUGAAGUUGAGAUCUUGCUACUAUGAUUUUAACAAUCUUCGUUUGCUUCUCGGCGGUUCUUCCCUGUAAGGUAAAACAUGAACAACAUAAGGAUGUCAGAGGAUAGUUAAACGUCAACAAUGAGAACCCCUACAAAGAAAAUAGGUGGCAAUAAAAGGUGGACUGUAGCUGAAAGCCGAUUCUUUAUAAAAUUUAUGGCUUCUCAAGUUGAACAAGGUUUCAAAGUUGACUAGGGCCUCAAAUCCCAAGCACUUCAUGCUGCUAUUAGUGCAAUGAAAAGUAAAUUUGGUAUCAUAGUCACUAAAGAGAAUGUGUCAAACCAUCUUAGGUUAUCGCAAGCGGUGGGCAAAAAUAAAAAAAACUGAAAGAGUUAAGUGGAAUGGGUUGGGAUGAUUGAUUGAAGAUGAUAAUCAUGGGAGAAUCAGAGUACAGGGACUAUGUAAAGAUGCAUCCCCAGGAUGAUCCAUUCAUUAACAAGCCAAUUGAAGACCAUGACUUGCUUGAAAUUAUUUGUGGUAAUGAUCAAGCAACUGGACAACGUGUUGUGCACUUUGGAGAUGAAAUUGGCACAAAUAUGUAUGAUAGUGUUGAGCCUUGCCCAUAAUCUCAAACUGGUGGUAAGAUGACAUGUCUUUUGAGGAGACAAAUUUUCAUGUUAACAUGUCAACACCAACCCAUAACUAAUUAGGGAGCUUAGAACCCAGGAUGGCAACUUCUAGUCAAACAAAAAAAGGAAAAGGGAAAAGAAAAUUGAUCUCUGAAGUCGAGGCAAUAUAGGAGAUGAAUAGCACCCUUAAAGAGGGAGUUGCGGCAAUGAAUUCUACUCAUACAUUAUCCUUUGCUAAAGAGAUGAUUAAUGAAUGCAUGAAGUUGAAAGAAUAUGGUUACUCUAGCCGUGAGAUUAAUAAAACCUAUGAUUGGUUGAUGGACGAUGAUAGUAGAGCCAUAUCUUUCUUAGCAAAAGAUGAGGAGCUCAGGCAAUAUUGGGCAAAAGAAUUUUUUGAUUCACUCUGUAAUCAAUGAAGAAGGUCUUAAGAUCCCAAUUAGCCAGAUUUGACUCCCAAGUUUCUAUAUAUUCUAUUCUAUCAUGUUCUAUAUGCUAUCUUGUGUUACUAGGACCUUUGAUAUUAUUUUUUUAUCUCCUAUGUUAUCAUCGAAUUAUGUGUGAUGAAUCAUUGAACAUAAUCUAUGUAUUUGUGCAUGUAGUUGGAGAUUUUAUGAAGUUCUUUAAAG